AACGAACGCUGGCGGCGCGCUUAACACAUGCAAGUCGAACGGUCCUGAUAGAGCCGUAAGGUGAUAUCGGGAUAGUGGCAAACGGGUGAGUAAUACGUGGAUAAUCUACCCUUGAGUGGGGGGUAACUCUGCGAAAGUGGAGCUAAUACCGCGUAAGACUACAGAAUCGCAUGAUUCAGUAGUAAAAGGCUCCGGUUUACCGGAGUCGCUCAGGGAUGAAUCCGCGCCUGAUUAGCUAGUUGGUAGGGUAACAGCCUACCAAGGCAACGAUCAGUAGCCGGCCUGAAAGGGUGUUCGGCCACACUGGAAUUGAGAUACGGUCCAGACUCCUACGGGAGGCAGCAGUGGGGAAUCUUGCGCAAUGGGGGAAACCCUGACGCAGUGACGCCGCGUGAACGAUGAAGUCCUUCGGGAUGUAAAGUUCUGUUAGGCGGGAAGAACCCCUGAGAAAUCAGGGAUGACGGUACCGCCAGAGGAAGCACCGGCUAAUUCCGUGCCAGCAGCCGCGGUAACACGGAGGGUGCAAGCGUUGUUCGGAAUUACUAGGCGUAAAGAGCGUGUAGGUGGUUAACUAAGUCGGAUGUGAAAAUCCCAAGCUUAACUUGGAACGUGCAUUCGAAACUGGUUAACUUGAGUGUAGGAGAGGAGAGCGGAAUUCCUAGUGUAGCGGUGAAAUGCGUAGAUAUUAGGAAGAACACCGGUGGCGAAGGCGGCUCUCUGGCCUAAAACUGACACUGAGACGCGAAAGCGUGGGUAGCGAACAGGAUUAGAUACCCUGGUAGUCCACGCCGUAAACGAUGGGCAUUAGGUGUAGGAGGUACCCAAUCCUUCUGUGCCGAAGUUAACGCAUUAAAUGCCCCGCCUGGGGAGUACGACCGCAAGGUUG
rnacentral:rRNA from 1 species